UAUAUUCUAGUGCUCUGCCUUAAGAUUUUGUGUAGAACCAUAAAGAUUACAUUGUCAGAGUCUUGACAAAUAGGAAGCGAGUCCAAUUGCUUCAUGUGAUAGAGGGAAUGGGAACCUUGAGAGGCUUUCUCUGCCCAGACUUCUGUCUGGGAGGAAAAGGCACCUACUUUCUCUAAGGUUUUUUAUUCAAAGGAACAUAGCACCAAUAGUGGAAUUUAAGGCAUCUGGGGGAAGGGGAUAUGUUUAGGGACUGUUCAUUUGCAGGAUCACUCAAAUCUCAAAAUGUCACCCAGUCAUCACGUGAGGCUACCUUGAGAUGAACACCCUAGUCCCCUGCUUUCUUAGAAGCACAAACCUUACCUCCUUCACUCAGGACCAUUAUGGCCAUUCUACCUAAGAAUAUUCCUACCAGAACAUUUCUGGUACUGGAAAGGUGUUCAUCAAUAUCUACUGCAUAAACAGUGCCAUCAUGGAACCUAUAACUAGCUCAGAACGACUAUGUUUUAGAUGAUUAUUUUUAAAAAGUUAGAAAUCGCAAAUAUGAAAGCUAAGCCCAAACAAAAAAAGCUAAGCAUAAAAACGUAAAAGAAUAUCAACUGUGAUAAGAAGGACAAAAAAACAAUACCUUUGUAAUGUAAGACAUUUAUUUUGGCUAAAGUUUUGGUGUUUUAACACUGAUUUGUGAUACAAUGGACAUUAAACUUCCUUUAAAAAAGAAAAAACCAAUUUGGUAGCUCUCCCUUUUCUGUCCAGAAAAAUUCACUCUUUCACAAUCAAAUUACCCUAAAAUUUGGCGGAGUUAAGAGGCAACAAAAGUUAAGCUUCCAACGAAUCUGUUCUCUCAACCGGAAAUGUCUUCUAUUUCCAAUCAGGAUAAAACCUUGACUUACUUGCAAGGACUAUCACGGUUAGCCCUUCAGUGAUUCCUGACACCAGUUCUGUGAAAAAGAAAAUUUCCUGCGAGAAAAGCUCAUGUCUUCAUAUUGAAGAUCAGUGCUUUUUUUUUUUUUUUCCUUUAAAACAGUAGCAUCUUAACUUGUGGCACAAAAGGCACCAACAUUCCCUUUCCAAACCAUCCAUCACCAUGGGUGGAAGGCAGCGCCACCUGCUGGCCAUCAUAUUAUGGCUCACAUACCCAUAAUUUCCUUGAGGUGCUGAAUUCCAAGUGGGGAUUAUUAGAGACCCCUCAGAGCCAAAAGGGGACCUUAGAGGUCUUCUAGAUGAGUCCCCUCAUUUGUAGGUGGUGGUUUCUGGAUAACUCAGAGUGGCAGGGACACAGACGAGCCUGUGGAAAGGUAUACUGCUUUAAGAUUGAGAAGAAAACCAUUUGGCGCUCUAAUUUUGCCUGGAUGGUGCUCUGUCAGUCAAAGAAAGGGAACAGGUCUGGGGAGGGGGUAAGGGCACCCUGAGUUCCUGUUCCAUCACUUCCCAGGCAGUAGAAGGCUGUCCAGGAACAGCUCCCAUCCACAACUGGGCAUGUGUUGGCUCUUACACAAGAGACUUUAAUUUUACUUGAAGAACUAAGAGCUAAAUCUUGUUAAGUAAAUACGAGGUUUCAGGGGUGAAGGACUAUCAAGAAAUCCCAAGUUAUCAGCAUAAAAGUAGUCCCAAAGUAAAGGCAGUAAUUCUCCCAAUGGCCUUUUCUCCCUCAUGCCCCCACAGAGACUUUCGAGAGGUCCUAGUUAGCCAGCCACACCAACCUGCUGUGUUCGCGUAAGUAGCUGUGCCUGUCCCAUGGGGUGACCACUGCCUGGUCAUGGGAGGGGAGCCCCAGCCCCAGCUCCCUAGCCUUUUCCAGGAGCAGAGCAGAAAGCUCUACUUCGGGGUGCUACAUCCCACCUGGAGAAAGAGCUGCACAUUCUAGCCUAUGAGGGACCCACCCUUUUCACUUGCUUCUCCGGGGCUGGAUUGAGGGUAAGUGCAGUACACCUGGAAAUCCUAGGGAGCCCCCUUCUUGAGAAAGAGUAUCGUAUGAAAGAAUCCAGCUUCAGGGAGCAGCAAACCCAAAAUCUUGCCCAGCUCCACCUUAUGGAGCUGGACAACCCUGGGGGCCAGGCCCUUAAUCAUUCUGAACCUCAGUUCCUUUUUUUAAAAAAGGUCACAAUACAAGAACAAGCUCUACUAACUUUACAGGGUUACUGUGAGGCUCAAGUUAGAUUAAGUUGGAAGGCUACCUAGAAGCUGUGCAGUGAGGUACCCAGUUUAGAGGAUGGCCAUUUCACUUAGGUGGGUUUAUCUGGACACCUUUUUCACUAUCUGGAGAAGAAGACACAUACUGGUUGUUCAGGGCUGCUGUGGUCACAGAGAAAAGCGGACAGCAAAUGACCAGGCUGGGCAGGGCUGCUUCUGUGUGAUCAGAGACCUUCACAGCCGGGAGUGAGGCCUUACGCCACACCUGCUUCUCCGUGUCCCAGCCAGGAGCUCCUGGCCAACUCUGAAAAAGGCACAUUCCCUACCUUGGCAUAUUAACACUGCCUGAAUUUAAAUGUAAAACUGAGUUGUAAAUAGUCAACAAAAGUCCCUGAUAUUUCUUUCGUUUUAGGUAAGACUCCUUCACAAGGCCUUGCGAGUGAUCCUACCAUGAAUUCAGUCUUCUGGGAGUGUGACACACCCACCAGAACAAUGCCCUAUAUAUAUUUGGUGCUCAAAAAGUGUUUAAUUUCUUAAACUUUUAUCAGACACCUAUGUGCAAGGUGCUGGGGGCAUGGCUGAGGACCUUCUCUUUGCCCAGAGUGACCCUGAAGAUAAAUAGCAUCACGAUCACUUUCCAUAAUAACAAUAAUGUAAAAUCCUAACAAGACUGUAUUUAAAACAAAACUCUUAUAUUCUGGCAAAUGUGCAUACACAUGUGAGGGCUAGUGCAUUCCAAUAUCAUCCUUAGAAAGUCUUUUGAAAGGUUUAUCGUGUUUGGGUUUUUUUGCUCUACCACCAAUAAAGGAUCCAUUUGGACACUCCGCCAUGUCUCAUGUCUGCCUGGCUGAGUCACUUCAGGGAUCCUGUGCUGGCACCAGAGAGCUGUAAGAGCCACCUGCAAUGGGCAGGGUGUGUGCCUGGGACCUUUCACUUCCCUGCUUGUCUUCUGGCCGCGUUUCUGAGAGGCACACCCCCCCACACACCCAUGCACACACACUGUAAUUGGCCAACUUCCUCCUUCUGUUCUUGGAAUAGCAACCGAGACAAAAAGCAGUUAGCACGAGUGGCUUGGGCUUGCCAACACUACAAUUCAGGACAAAACCCUUGUAAUUCUCCAAAUGGUGGGGUUUUUAAAUAGGUUGGACUUCAACACCCUGUUUUCUAAAAAAGAAAAAAAAAAAAAAGCAUGCCCAAGGCAUCACUCUUCUCAAAAACGAAGUGACUGAGAUAAGAUCGAAGGGAAAUAUUCCAGAGCAGCAGAUUCUGAACUCAAGGCUUCCAAAGAUUCACAUUUUGAAAACUCUAUGGAUUUAGGAGGGUUCUCCAGGUUGCCCACAAGGCCUCUUUGUGUAGGGACCAUUCAUCCUAAGGAAAUCAUCAAAUNGCAGCCUUGCUGUGGGAAUCUCCAUCCACUAAUAACUGACGGACACCCCCACCCCAGCUUCGGACCUCAAGACGUGAGAGGGCUGCCUAUGCACAGGGUGUGGAAGGCUGUGGGGACAAUGCGGGGCACAGACGUGGUGGGGAGAGUGGCCUGCAUUUGCAUAGUUCCUUUACUAGGGCUCAAGGUGUUGAGGUGCACACUCAAGAGAGGAUUCGGGAGUUGGGGAAGGGAGGUCAUGAGGGACCUGUGUGAGCAUCGUAGGCCUUACACUUCCACACACCUCCUGCCCUGGGCCAUCGGGAAGCAUGCAGGCCACAGGCCUUCCCCCUCUGAGCCCCCAUCUCAGGGAAAAGACAUCAUAAGUUACAGAAACAGGACAACUGGGGAGCAAGGACGCCCCCCUUGGCAAGCUUCUUUAUGUGCUCCCCAGGGUGGGGAAAGUGGCCCAGGACUGUGUUGGGACAGACUUGUAGACAAGUGCCUUGUGAUGCUGGGAGCAGGGUACAGUGUGUUUCCUAAACAUGGCAGCUCGGGACACCUUUGCCCACGGCCUCCCCCACGGACCUCUCGAGCAGAGGCGGUGGGGGUGCCCUAGGGUUUCAACUUCCCCUCCUUGGCUAGUCUGUCAUUGAGCUGGCAGAGCUGGGCCAGGAAGCCAUCGUUGGGGCCGAUCUCACGGUUCUGCCUCACGAUGCUCAGGGCAGACUUGACGUCCAUCUUCUGCCGCAUCAUGAGGUAGGCGAUAACUAGCGUUGGGGAGCGGCUAUAACCUUCCCGGCAGUGGACGAGCACCCGGCCUG
rnacentral:lncRNA from 1 species